GACAGAGGGUGCAAACGUUGUUCGGAAUUACUGGGCGUAAAGCGCGUGUAGGCGGCUAAGUAAGUCGGGCGUGAAAUCCCACGGCUCAACCGUGGAAGUGCACUCGAAACUGCAUAGCUAGAGUCCUGGAGAGGAAGGUGGAAUGCUUGGUGUAGAGGUGAAAUUCGUAGAUAUCAAGCGGAACACCGGUGGCGAAGGCGGCCUUCUGGACAGUGACGUGACGCUGAGACGGCGAAAGCGUGGGGGAGCAAACAGGG
rnacentral:rRNA from 1 species